UUGUUUCUGUUAUGAUAACAGCUCUUAUUUUCUCUCUGACAAGACUGUUAUUUAUGUCUUUCCUUAUACUUUGUGUUUCUAAAGAGUCUGAGUAACUGAGUCUGUAAACAGGUGACACUGCUUGAUGCUAAUCUGUCUAAUUUAUAGCCCUAUUGUGCAUCCCCUCUGGAAGAUAUAGAGUUCAGUUUAAUGCUCACAGUUCACCUUCCCAAAAGGUAAAUACCUGUUUCAUGUUUUAGAUCAAUUAACAGGCUAAUAGCAAAAAGGGGAAGACACAGAAGAAAGGAGGCAUCCCAGAGUAUCUUUUCCCCCUCCGAGUUUAAUGAUUUGCCUGUAGCCUGGACAUUUGGCAUGCAUGGAAUGUUUGUCUCCACAUCCAGACCCAUUGUGUCGGAGGAAGAGAAAACUAGAGGAAAAGAUCUACGUGCCUAUCUCAGGAUGGGUGUUUGUCCAUUUUGAAGCUGAUCAAUGAAUGAAAGAAGAUUAUUGUUUCAAAGCACCCAGAAGGUCCUGCGUGAACCCAAAGCAGCAGCUGGUUUCACUUUACCUGCUUUAUCGAUGCACAGAACCCCACCGUAAUAGGUCCGUUCCUGUGGUUUUAGUGGUGGAGUACAGAGGGAUCGGAUAGGGCUCUUCUCACAGACUGACAUGGCGACUGGAACAGCUAAACCUGGAGCUGGAAUCUGCACUGAAGGGGUUUUGGAGAUGCCAAGCUGUUCUCCUAAUGAGAUGCAUACCAGCACUGAAGCCUGUGAGACAGAUUGGGCCUCCUGCUAGUCCGUUCCACCUCGGUCAGAGACCUUCCACUGCCCUGCAGGCAAUACAGCCACAGCUUCACUCUCUUCCCAUCAUGCUCCACUGCUGCUUACCUUGUGCACCGCCCACCUCUGCAUGCUUGACAUCCUCACAGGU